UGGAAACUGAUGUGCAAUAUAAGCAAUUUUGUAAUAGUCUGGUCAGUACCUUUUUUUUUACAUAUUUAUGAUGUGUCUCUUUGUCCUUGGAAUACAUCAAGAUAUCUAGAUAUGCUAUAACACAGUCUCUUAAUACAUCAUUAAUCAAAUCUUGGAAGACAGCCAAGAGACAUCACAGUGUACGUAGUGUCUGUAUCGGAUGUUAAAG